AUGAAGGAUAAACGUAUUUAUCUUAUCUUAUGAAUAUAAAUUAAAUUUAUAAUAAAUAUAAAAAUAUAUUUAUAAAAAAGGAAGACGACAAGACCCUAAGAACUUUUUUCAUUUAACUGGGGAAGUUUAAUAAUUAAAAUUUAUAAAAUUAUAAUAAUUAAAGCUUUUUAGAAAAUAAAUUAAGUUACCUUAGGGAUAACAGCAUAAUUUAUAUUUUAAGUUCUUAUAGCAAUAUAUAAAUAUGACCUCGAUGUUGAAUUAAUAUUUUCUUUUAUAAGUAUAAAUAUAAAAAGUAAGUCUGUUCGACUUUUAAAAUAUUACAU
rnacentral:rRNA from 1 species